rnacentral:rRNA from 1 species
GACGUAGGUGGCGAACGUUAUCCGGAUUUAUUGGGCGUAAAGAGCGUGUAGGCGGCCAGACAGGUCCGUUGUGAAAACUCGAGGCUCAACCUCGAGAUGUCGAUGGAAACCGUCUGGCUAGAGUCCGGAAGAGGAGUGUGGAAUUCCUGGUGUAGCGGUGAAAUGCGCAGAUAUCAGGAAGAACACCUAUGGCGAAGGCAGCACUCUGGGACGGUACUGACGCUGAGACGCGAAAGCGUGGGGAGCGAACAGG